UACGUAGGGGGCUAGCGUUGUCCGGAAUCAUUGGGCGUAAAGAGCGUGUAGGCGGUCCGGUAAGUCCGCUGUGAAAGUCGGGGGCUCAACCCUCGAAUGCCGGUGGAUACUGUCGGGCUAGAGUGCGGAAGAGGCGAGUGGAAUUCCUGGUGUAGCGGUGAAAUGCGUAGAUAUCGAGAGGAACACCUGCGGCGAAGGCGGGUUGCUGGGCUGACACUGACGCUGAUGCGCGAAAGCUAGGGGAGCGAACGGG
rnacentral:rRNA from 1 species